UACAGAGGGUGCGAGCGUUGUCCGGAAUCAUUGGCGUAAAGGCGCGUAGGUGGCCGGUCAGUUCGUGGUGAAGCCGCGGCUCAACCUGCGUCGGCCAUGAUACUGCCGCGCUGGAGCACUGUAGAGGCAGGCGGAAUUCCGGUGUAGCGGUGGAUGCGUAGAGAUCCGGAAGAACACCGGUGGCGAAGGCGGCACUCUGGCCGGUACUGACGCUGAGGAGCGAAAGCGUGGGAGCGAACAGG
rnacentral:rRNA from 1 species